CAGCCGCCGCGGUAAUACGGAGGGGACUAGCGUUGUUCGGAAUUACUGGGCGUAAAGCCCACGUAGGCGGCUUGGUAAGUUAGAGGUGAAAGCCCGGAGCUCAACUCCGGAAUUGCCUUUAAGACUGCCGAGCUAGUAGGUGAGAGAGGUAAGUGGAAUUCCGAGUGUAGAGGUGAGAUUCGUAGAUAUUCGGAAGAACACCAGUGGCGAAGGCGGCUUACUGGCUCAUUCUAGACGCUGAGGUGCGAAAGCGUGGGGAGCAAACAGGAUUAGAUACCCCCGUAGUCCCUGUCUCUUAUAC
rnacentral:rRNA from 1 species